GAGUUUGAUCCUGGCUCAGGACGAACGCUGGCGGCGUGCCUAACACAUGCAAGUCGAGCGAUGAAGCUCCUUCGGGAGUGAAUUAGCGGCGGACGGGUGAGUAACACGUGGGUAACCUGCCUCAUAGAGGGGAAUAGCCUCCCGAAAGGGAGAUUAAUACCGCAUAAAGUAUGAAGGUCGCAUGACUUUUAUACCAAAGGAGCAAUCCGCUAUGAGAUGGACCCGCGGCGCAUUAGCUAGUUGGUGAGGUAAGGGCUCACCAAGGCAACGAUGCGUAGCCGACCUGAGAGGGUGAUCGGCCACAUUGGAACUGAGACACGGUCCAGACUCCUACGGGAGGCAGCAGUGGGGAAUAUUGCGCAAUGGGGGAAACCCUGACGCAGCAACGCCGCGUGAAUGAAGAAGGCCUUAGGGUUGUAAAGUUCUGUCAUAUGGGAAGAUAAUGACGGUACCAUAUGAGGAAGCCACGGCUAACUACGUGCCAGCAGCCGCGGUAAUACGUAGGUGGCAAGCGUUGUCC
rnacentral:ncRNA from 1 species